CGGCUCCAAUUAGAUGUCAUGGACGGCACUGCCCAUACUGUUCGUUAUGUGCUUUGUCGAGACUAUGGAAAAACUGGCGAAGACCAGUGCAACUGUGCAAGUGCAUUGCUUAAUGGGAAGGCGGGUUUUGUAUUCUGUACUCAUUACAUUAACAACCUGCACCAUGUGUAAGAGGAUACACUUGAUGACUUAGCUCUGCCGCUGUGCAUAUCAGGACUGGUAGCUACAACACCCCACCCUUGAGCUGAGAUCUAGCACAUAUUAUCAGUAUGAGGAGUAUGAAAGCUAGACAAAAGUUAACUUUUUUACUAUAGAACUUUAGUUCUCCUGCGGAAAAAAUAAGAGUGGAAAAGCACCAUUGUUUCUAAAGCGAAAUGAAUCUGAAAUCCAACACUAUAUUUUAAGUCUACUCCACGGCUCCCUGAAGAAAAUAUUAUAAAAGUAUCGAAGGAAAAGCUACCUAAAAGGCACUCUGGCAAUCCUCGAGGUGUGUCAUCAGUAGCGAUCAGUACAAAAUCAAAUGCAGGGGGUACCCUCCCGAAAAAAGCAUCCACCUUCUGAUCUUGAGUCUUUCAGAAGAAGAAGAAAAUAAAAGAUCACAUUUAGACUUUAUUGACCAUUAUGUUAUUGUCACUAAUCAUGCUAUAUCAUAUGUCCUUUGGCAUAUAACACAUAGUACUAAUAUCACAUUAACAUUUGUCAAAAAAUUUCCAGACAUCUAUACAAGGACAUUGACAGGGGAUAUGGUAAUGUGAUAGCACGAUUCUCGAGUCCUUGACAUUGAUGCGUUAUACUAUCCUUUCUUUUACCGCCAUUUUCAAGGGAACCGGAAAAAAGCAAGAUACUGCCAUCACCCGUGCUAGCACAUUACAAAGUGAUGAGGUAUGUCUUUCUGUACUCUAAACUUUAAUAGAGGAGAUAGUAUAUAUGGAUCGGUUGGGUAAAAGCGAAUUAUGGUCAAAAUGCUAAAGGUAAUAGCUUUUUGUUUGGGUUGCGAUCGCGUUGGUUGACCCAUAAAGGUUUUAUUAAAAUUCAUAUUUAGAUAAACCUUUCAGAUUGAAACUUCAUAACCCAAGCUAAUGCCUUAUUGGGGUUUAAAGGGAUCAUAUUUAAUUCCAAAGUUUCAGUUUCAUUAUCCAAUCAAUGGAGUUAUAUUUGGCAUUUGAGUGAUUCUGAUGAUGACGAUGAUUAUUAGUAGUCAAACAGAAAGGAUGUUUACAUUUGAUUUAUUAAUAUUUAUUAGUGUGUAUAAUGCCAUAAGAUAUCUUUAUAAGCUGACCCAGAUUUGCAGAUAAAUUAGAACGUGCAGAUAGUUAAGGAGAUGACAGAGAUAAAAAACAAGCUGCCUUAAGUAAUGCUCCUAACUAGAUCAUGAACACAAACUAAUUUACUUGCAAGGAUUUGGUGAUGGUGAAGCAUAUCAACUUCUGAACAACCAUGAGUAUUAUGUAAUAUUGACCAUUUUGACCCAUUUACUUAUGAAAGGGUUAUUCCCGUUUGUGGUUUCUAUCUCUUUAACAAGUGAAGUUAAAAGCUUUCGCGUAAAUGGAUAU